AUGUCACGUCGAGGUACUGCAUAAAAAAGAACUGCAAAAUCUGAUCCAAUUUUUCGUAAUCGAUUAGUUAACAUGGUGGUUAACUGUAUUAUGAAAGACGAAAAAAAUCAUUGGCUUAUCAAAUUCUCUAUCGAGCCUAAAGUAAGUAAAAAUGUCAUUUUAUUGCCAAGCUAG
rnacentral:rRNA from 1 species